GGAGGGGUGUCCGAGUGGUUUAUGGUGGCGGUCUUGAAAACCGCUGUCCCGGAAUACCGGGACCGUGGGUUCGAAUCCCACCCCCUCCG
rnacentral:tRNA from 1 species